rnacentral:tRNA from 1 species
UCCGGCGUAGCUCAGUUGGUAGAGCGGCGAGCUGUUAACUCGUUGGUCGUAGGUUCGAGCCCUACCGCCGGAG